rfam:Triticum aestivum genome assembly, contig: Triticum_aestivum_CS42_TGACv1_scaffold_374461_5AL
AUUAUACUCCCUCCGUCCGAAAAUACUUGUCAUCAAAAUCUUGUCCAUUUUGAUGACAAGUAUUUUCGGACGGAGGGAGUAUAUA